rnacentral:rRNA from 1 species
GACGAACGCUGGCGGCGUGCUUAACACAUGCAAGUCGAACGGAAAGGCCCUGCUCUUGCGGGUUGCACGAGUGGCGAACGGGUGUGUAACACGUGAGUAUCCUGCCCCUGACUGUGGGAUAACUCCACGAAACUGCGGCUAUUAUCGCAUAGGAGCUCCUGCUGCACGGUGGUGGUUGGAGAGUUUCGGCUGUGGGGGAUGGACUCGCUGCUUAUCCGCUUGUUGGGGGAGUAGUGGCUGACCAAGGCUUUGACGGAUAGGCGGCCUGAGAGGGUGACCGGCGACAUUACGCCUGAGAGACGGCCCAGACGGCUACGUGAGGCAGCAGUGGGGAAUAUUGCACAACGGGGGGAAGCCUGAUGCAGCAACGUCGCGUGCGGGAUAACGGCCUUCGGGUUGUAAACAGCUGUGGACUGUAACGAAGCGUGAGUGACGGUAAUGAGUAAGGAAGCACCGGCUAACUACGUG